ACUCCUGCGGGAGGCAGCAGUGGGGAAUAUUGGACAAUGGGCGCAAGCCUGAUCCAGCCAUGCCGCGUGAGUGAUGAAGGCCCUAGGGUUGUAAAGCUCUUUCACCGGAGAAGAUAAUGACGGUAUCCGGAGAAGAAGCCCCGGCUAACUUCGUGCCAGCAGCCGCGGUAAUACGAAGGGGGCUAGCGUUGUUCGGAAUUACUGGGCGUAAAGCGCACGUAGGCGGAUCGAUCAGUCAGGGGUGAAAUCCCAGGGCUCAACCCUGGAACUGCCUUUGAUACUGUCGAUCUGGAGUAUGGAAGAGGUGAGUGGAAUUCCGAGUGUAGAGGUGAAAUUCGUAGAUAUUCGGAGGAACACCAGUGGCGAAGGCGGCUCACUGGUCCAUUACUGACGCUGAGGUGCGAAAGCGUGGGGAGCAAACAGGAUUAGAUACCCGGGUAGUCCC
rnacentral:rRNA from 1 species